AGCAAGGUGAAAUGUUGAUUCUUUUUAUUUCUGUGGAGAGUAAAACAAGCUAUUUUUCCACAGGAAGUCGGAUCAUCUCCAUCAGUGAUUGUGCAACCAAAACAGUGAUCUGGUUGUGGACGUAUACAACUCCGAUGGAUCCCUAAUGCCAAAGCUUCACUGGACACGAAAACAUGUAGAUCAUCUGCAAAGCUGCUCGCCCUCAUCUUAAUCCUGCUGAUUCUCUUCUGCACGCACUGUUUUGUUUUUUGAACGCUUUGGAGGAGAUUCCCUGCCCACAGCCCGCCGGAUUAACCCUUCGCCCGGUCGGUCAACUUGCCUCACCGCUACCCUUCCCGUUCACACCACAGGCACGGGCGGUGAAAAGAAAGGAUGCAGAAGUAAAGAGGGAGAACAGAGGGAGCGAUAUUGUGAACGGGAUUAUGGGAUGAGGGAGGGAAAAAAGAGGA